GUGAACUUGGCACCUGCAAAACUUCCACGGUGUAAUGCAGCUAGUAAGAAUGCCGUUUCUGUGUUUUUCACGGCCAAAACAGAUGAGCAAGAUGUUCCUCUGACGAUGACUGCGUGAAAAAGCUAAGUGGAUUCAGGACUAUCAGUUACUUGCACUGGGACCUACACAUCAAAGAGGAUGCAAACAUUUCCCAGCACCAAAGAACUAUAUGAGUGGACAGCGUACCCGCGCUCCGCCGUAUCGUCCACCACCUCGCUAUCCUCCAAGACGAAUCAGCACGGUGUGUGCCCG